rnacentral:rRNA from 1 species
UACGUAGGUGGCAAGCGUUUGUCCGGAAUUACUGGGUGUAAAGCGCGUGUAGGCGGGAGGCCAAGUCUGCUGUGAAAUCGCUCGGCUCAACUGGGCGGGGUCGGUGGAAACUGGUCACCUGGAGGACGGUAGAGGCGAGUGGAAUUCCCGGUGUAGUGGUGAAAUGCGUAGAGAUCGGGAGGAACACCAGUGGCGAAAGCGACUUCCUGGACCAAUACUGACGCUCAUGUGCGAAAGCGUGGGGAGCAAACAGGG